GGUACUCCAGCCUGAGCAAUACAGUGAGACUGAGUAUAAAAAAACAAAAAACAAAAAAACAAUUCACUAGGGUUAUAAGAAUACCAGAAGAUGGGAGAGAUGAACUUGAAAGCAAGAUAAGGAACACAAAGUUUCGUUAUUGGAGAAAGAGCCCAGGUGUAGAUACAGUGAAGGAAGUAAUUGAGUAAAAGGUUGGAAGCCAAGGAAUCCACAGAUGAAAUGGUGAUGAGUUUCCUCAGCAUCUGUCUGGUUGCCUGCUGUGGGUGCUGGUUCUCCAUACUUGUGGGAGUUAUACAAUAUCCGGCACAAAAAGGGUCCACGUUAAAGUUUCUGUGAUUCUAGCUGCCAUGUAUUGACUCAAUGUGUUAACUCAAGCAAUUAUCAAAUGCUGAUCAGAAAUGCUGAGCAUUUUAACAUUGUAAAUGGGAUCAUGUUAACAUUCCUGUUAAAAAUUGCUUCAAAAACUUUCCAUUGCACUCAGAAAAAUGUUCAAACUCCUUAGUACCACCUAUAAAGCCUUACGUGAUCCAGUCCCUGCUACCUCUUCAAUUUCAUCUCAUCACCCUGCCCCUGACUCUCCAUUCUCCACUUUAACUACCCUCCCUUUAGUGCCUCCAAAAUGCCAAGACUUCUGUAUGUGCUUUUGCCAGGAAUUCCCACGUCAAUCACUCUCCAUCUGACUAGCCCCUAUUCAUCUUUGCAAUUUGAGUUCAAAUGUCUCUUAAUAACGAAGCCUCAUCUAUCAAGUCUAAAAUAAAUUACUAGUUCCUCAUUAUGCUAUCUCAUUUCCCACUGUUCUUUUUCUUCAUGGCACUUAUUAUAAAUUGAAAUCAUAUGACAGUGUAUGAUGUAAUUGUCUUCCAUUAUAUCUAGAGUGUUUUAAGCUCCAUGAGGACAGGGAUCAUGUUGCUUUUAUUUACAAUAUAAUGCUAGACUUAUAAUAAGUACUAGAUAAAUGUUUGCUAAAAGGAUAAAGGACAAUUAUGUAUAACUUUGAAAAAUAUGAGAAAUUAAUUACUAUAUAAUGCAUAUAGGACGUUGCAAUCAAGAGAUUAUUUUUGACUUGAGUUCUAAAAUUUAGAAUAGCAGAUUCAGCCCUUGGUGACAACCAUGUGGGCUAGAUGACUGUGACUGUUCCUGGCACAUCUGGCAUCCAAAAGUGUCCAAUCGCAACUCUUUGGUCCUGUCACUUUACUUCCUUGAGCCUUAGUUUCCCAAAACAUUAAAUGGGUGGUUGGGUUGGAUGGUCUUUGUGAUUUCUACAUUAAAGUUUUUGUAAAAUUAUAUUCUCAUGUAGAAAUUUUAGGAAAAAGUGAUUUCUAUGCAGCUUUUAGGAUUUUAAUUGUUAGCAGCCUUUGCUUAUCAAGUUGCUGGUAUAACGGUGAAAGGUUAAGGACUUGGGUCUAUUUACUCGCUUUUCACCCAUUUCCUUCCACCUAAAAAACAUAUCUGAUUCUCUGAGCAGAGACUAGAAAUAUGCAUGGGCAAGUACUCAUAAAAAAGACAAGCAUUUAACUUUCCUAAUACUCUUAUCACUUCAACAUCUAGGUUUGGCACAGAAACACAGAACUCCUCACAACAGCUGCCUUCACUAUCAUGUGUGCAUACCAGAUAAGGAUUUCUACUUUACAAGAUGCUGUUUCAGAAAGUCAAACACACAGUUGCUCUAUCCUCAUAUGUCACUGUCUUAAGAAAGUAAAUAUUCUGUAAAUUCAUUUUAAAGAAUAUGUUUGACUUUAAAAAUAAAAAAGUUUUGAUCUGUACUCACAUACUGUAAGUUGCCAAAGGACACAUUAAGAAUGUGGGUAAAAUCUCAAAUAUAUGACACCAUACUUACAAAUAUGCUUGUUACUGCUACAGUAAGUCUUCUGACUUUAAAAAUACCAUUCUGUCAAUGGAUGGUGCCACUGUUUCUCAAAGGGUCAGUGUUGUAGAGUAUCUACCAUAUCAUUUGGCGUGAUUAUACAAUUACUGUUGAUAAAGUUCAAUUCAUAGGCAGGAAAUAAUAGCCAUCAACUAAGAUUCCCAAAGACAAGUCUAUUAGUAAAUCUAUUACCACAGCCACCUAUAGUUUAGUAUAAAGAAACUUUCUAAGUUGUAACAUGACUUGAACUGAGAACCACAAGAUGUCACAGACUCAUUUUAUAAUCUAGGAGAAGAAAAUUUUAUUCCUAAUUAUUCCUUUAUCCUGAAAGAGAGAAAAUAAUACCAGAUACAUGUCUCAGCCUUAGAAACAUUCAGAAUAUUUAUGGAUUGAUGGUAUAGGCCCUGAUCUGAUGGAUACUUUAUGAACAUAGACCUGAAUAAUCAUUAUGCAUAUGCAAACAAUUGUCUAAUAAUUAUUUUUGGAGAAGAUAUUUUUAUAAAUUACUAUAUUAGUUAAGAGCUGAAAUCAAAUCAUAAAGAACUGGAAGUACAAUUGGAGUCCAGUAAGACCCAAGACUUUGGUUUACACCGUUUCUUCUGUAGUCUGGGAUACUCUAUGCUCUUUCUUUUCCCAGCAUGAACAUCAAAUGUCGCCUUCUCUGUAAAGUCUCUCUUUAAUUUGCCUCCCCCAAGCAAAUUGAUCACUCACUCCCAUACUUUUUUGUAUAUUACUGUAGUACUCUGCACACACGCCUAUUGUAAACUUUAAUUACUUUGUUGAAUUCGCUUCCCUUUUGGUAGUAAGCUUCUUGAAGGAAGUCACCAUCUUAUUCAUCUUUGUUUAUAUUCAACUUUAUCUUAGUACUCUAUGCCAUGACUUAAAAAGACGAAUAAAGUCUAGGCUCUGCUUGCUGGGACUUCUCAUUGUGAUCAGAUUUUUAAUAAAUGUGGUUACUUGACACCUGGUAUUAAUUUCUUGUCAAAGAUUAAAGAUUAUGUUCAGCAGAAAACUGACCGUGGCUCUCAGAAAAAAAUAAGUAAAAUGUGGUUUGUUUCCUUUCCUUUUCUCACUCUAUGCCUAUCUUCCAACCCUCAGGUUGUCAGAGUCUUCCGGUUGCCUAUAGAGAUUCAAAAUCCUCACAUGAUUCACAUAGAAUAGAUCUGCCCUUCCUGGAAAUGUCUCAGAGGGAUUUUGCUGUCUCUCUUUUCUCUCUUUCUCUCUCUCUUUUUGCUCUUCCACUUUCUGACAUGCGAGGACACGGUGUUCCUCCCCUCUUCAGGACCCAGCAAGAAGGCUCUUAUCGAUGCCAGUGCCUUGAUCUUGGACUUCUCAAUAUCUAGAACUGCUGGAAUGCAAUGGCUUGAUCUCAGCUCACCACAAC